CUUUAUGAUGAUCCACUCCCACUUAGUGAACAGUCUGGAUGUAGCACGCAGCCCUCCCCAGAGGCUGAGCAGAUGCAGGCGUCGUGCUCUUGGACGUUCCAGCCACCAGAAUCAUGAAGUAAAUACACCUUUCUUUAUAAAUCACCCAGCCGCAGGCAUUCUGCUACAGCAGUGCUAAGUGGACUAAGGCAAGCAGCUAGCUUAACCCUUUUUCUGGCAUUUGUUACUUUUUAGAGAAAAACUACCUUACUCUUAGGAUCAAAAAUACUAUGUUGUUUCAAAUGUUUUGUUCACCUUUAGGUCUGUAAUCCAUUUAGAAAUGUUUUCACACAAGUAUGAAGGCAGGGCCAGUUAUGCAGAUGUGCAGCCAUCUCCCGUGCAUGUGUUGGACAGCGCGUCCAUCCCCACUGCGUCAGGGGUGUCCAGGCUUGUUUAGCAGCAACACGUUCCAUCACUUGGCAGAAAAUAACUUCACUAUUUGUUCCACGGGAGCCUCAAAAUGGUUUGAAAACCACUAUUCCAGAGAAGCCUUAAGCAUGGAUUGAUGGUGUAGCUGCUCAGCAACCCUCCCCUGUCGACGGGUCCCAUAUGAUGACUGCCUUCAGCGGUUGUAGUGGGAACAGCUUGGGAGUCCUGUUUUCAGCUGCUCGGGGACAACCAGCCUAUUCUGCCAACGGCCUGAGUACAGGAAAGUUUCCCCGCACUCCCCUUGUCCCCCACAGGUUUCUUGGAACCUCGGCCAAAUUCCGUUCCAGAGGCCAAACAUGCUUUGCUACUUUCAGGGCCCCAUGGGAAGGGUGAGGGGCCUGGCAUAAAUGUCAUGAGGCCCUCCUGGACUGUCCCCAGGGGGAUGCACAUUCUCCCCCCUGUGCCACAACCACUUCCACCCCGGCUGCGGCCCUCCUCUCCCUCUGAUGUGCCCUGGUCUGCUGGACAGAUAGAUGUCUACCUUUCCCUUUAAGAAUGGGGUAGCUGGGGGCCAGAGGGACAAUAGGUCGCCCCUGCCCCUGGACUUGGCACAGAGCCUGGCAGUGGGCACACUCAGUGUGUGUGGGACUGAAGUGCACGUGAAGACACAAAGCUAGUCUCCAGUCCUUUGGGCCCAAGGGCUGUCUGACACUCGCCAGGGCAGGGCGGGAAUGAAGUGGCGCGUUAGGGCUGAAGUUCCCUUUGCCCAUGAUCUAGGUUGUGGGAUGUCAUCGCAGUCAGGAGCCUGCACUCCAAAUGGCAGCGGAGGUUUAUUUCAAUGGAAGGAAAGAAAGGGAUACUGAUUAUUUUACAAUAGUAUUUUCCUUACAAAUUAAAGAGGGUUUGCAUCACUAUGGUAGGAUUUGGCACUCUGAGAAGAUAGUUUGCAUCUUACAUUUGGCCUACCUAGGACAUUCCUCCAGGUAAAGCCAAAAGCCAGUACUGACUACAGCUAUCCAAGACUUUGAGCGUCUCCAGGGCUGCCCUCCGGACCCCGGGAUCCGUGUCCAGCUGUAGCUCCUGGAGAGCUGAGAGUGAGCACAGAGAGGAGGAAUCAGGCCCCCUGGUCAGGACCGCACACCCUGUGCCCUGGCAUCAGUGACAGGCCAGGGCGGCUGACAGUGGCAAGGGACGGACUUGGAACCUCCUGUGUGAAGCCAGAAGACGGCAGUGGGGCUGUGUGAUUUCUCACAUCACAGACCUCUCAAGUCUCCAGUGGCCACCCUGACAGCAAGAUACGCACAGCCUGACUGCAGCAUCAGGGCAGAAGCAUUUCAUAAACAGCUGUGAACGGGGGAAACAACUGGACGAGAUGGACCCCACCCAUCAGCAGCUGUCUUCCUGGACAGUCCCCGCGCAUCCCUCCCUCUCUGUCCUGGUUACACCAGCCCCCGCCGCCCCAAGUUCCCACAAUGAAGAUUAGUCUGGCUCUUCCCUCAGAGCAGUUUCAUUAAGCUGCCUAAAUGAGUUUUGGUGAGAGUAUAAUCGAGCCUCCACUACUUACAAUUCCGUAAUGCCGGAAAGUCCAACUUUUUCAGAUAAUGUGUAGACAUCUGCGUCAUAAUAAUUCCUAAAAUGACACCCAGAGACAUGCUUAUCGCGAGUAUUGGAUCAGCAGGCAAACCACUGUGUGCCCUUCCCUGCAACAGACUUAGUUUUGCUGUAUGAGGACAUGGGCCCCUCGGGACAGGAGCUCAGUGCAGGGGUCAGCCCUGAUCCCGGGCCCAACUCUGCCACCUGUCUCCCUCCCCGUCCAGGACUGGGGUUCGCCAGAAGGCCGUCACAUUCCACCCUGAGUCCAGAGACCUGUCUGCUUACCUGCCAAGUUGCAGGCAGCGACUCUGAUCCUUGACAAGUUAUUUUUAACGUAGGCCAUUGUUUCUAGCAAGAAGCUGUAGAGAACGGCAGGCUUUUUCUGAGUCUACAAAACACAAGUGACACACACAGCCUUGGAGGACGCGAUCCUGGAGACGGGCUAUUCACCAAGCAUGUUCCCGUCUGUCUGACGUGACAGUUCCCUCGCAACUGGCAGGGUCUGCCCAGAGAGGGCAAGUGCCCAACCCAGCGUCACACAGCAGAUUAGUAGCUAUGCAGGUUAAGACUCUCAGCCCCUGUUGCAUUUCUGUCAGACUCUAGAGGGGCUCUUGCAUUUGUCCAGAACCUGUGCUGAACAAUGCAGUAGCCACUGGCCACAUGUGGCCCUUAAGUGUUUGAAGUGUGGCUAGUCUGAAUUAAGUGUAAAAUGCCUCCUGGAUUUUAAAGAUUACCAAAAAAACCCAAAAUGUAAAAUAUCACAAUAAUGGUUUUUAUAUUGAUUACGUGUUGAAAUGAUCAUGUUUUAGUUAUAUUGGGUAAAAUGAAAUAUCAAAAUUAC